CGCACUGCAUGGUAUCUGCAGGCAGCCGCUGCUCCGGUUGAUCUGUUCAUUAGUCAGUGCAAGAAUAACUCGGUAUCUGGCAUCGUUGGUCUCAUGCUCGUCAGUGCAUGCAGUCCUGGUAUAUCUGUCGAGACAAAU
ensembl:snoRNA small nucleolar RNA SNORA8